GACGAGCAGUGUAAUGACUAGUUUUCAGUCUAUUUUUGGUACAUUUAAUGUGUAUUAAACACUCUUCAAUGGCUCUAAACCAACUCUAAGAUAUUCUCAAAGAUAGAUAGUGAUUAUAAAAGCUCUCUUGAAGAGAAAAAUCAGAAGUUUUGCUAGCAUUCAAAGCUCACAUCUGUGAAAAGCUCAUUCAGCCCUAAAAGAGAGAAAAGAAGCAUUCAAUCACUUCACCAACCACUCUCCA
rnacentral:lncRNA from 1 species